UGUGUAGCCACUCUGUGCCUGGUGGACUUGGCUGGCAGUGAGCGAAUGGUGAAGAGCCAGUCUCAGGGUGACCGUUUCAAAGAGAUGACCGCCAUCAACAGCUCACUGUCCAACCUGGGCGUCGUUAUCGCCGCUCUGGCCAAAAAGGAGACUUACGUAGCUUACAGGAACUCGAAGCUCACGUACCUCCUUCAGGGAUGUUUGGGGGGGAAACGGCAAAACCUUGAUGUUUGUUAACAUUGCUCCGGAGCCCGACAGCUUUGGGGAAACUCUGAACUCAUUGAGGUUUGCCAGCAAGGUGAACGACUGCGUCAUCAGGACAGCGACUGCCAACAAAAAGUAGAAUUAU